CCUACGGGAGGCAGCAGUGAGGAAUAUUGGUCAAUGGACGAGAGUCUGAACCAGCCAAGUAGCGUGAAGGAUGACUGCCCUAUGGGUUGUAAACUUCUUUUAUAAAGGAAUAAAACGAGGCACGUGUGCCUUUUUGCAUGUACUUUAUGAAUAAGGAUCGGCUAACUCCGUGCCAGCAGCCGCGGUAAUACGGAGGAUCCGAGCGUUAUCCGGAUUUGUUGGGUUUAAAGGGAGCGUAGAUGGGUUGUUAAGUCAGUUGUGAAAGUUUGCGGCUCAACCGUAAAAUUGCAAUUGAUACUGGCAGUCUUGAGUACAGUUGAGGUAGGCGGAAUUCGUGGUGUAGCGGUGAAAUGCGUAGAUAUCACGAAGAACCCCGAUUGCGAAGGCAGCUUACUAAACUGUGACUGACAUUGAUGCUCGAAAGUGUGGGUAUCAAACAGGAUUAGAUACCCCAGUAGUC
rnacentral:rRNA from 1 species